rnacentral:rRNA from 1 species
UACGGGGGGGGCAAGCGUUGUUCGGAAUUACUGGGCGUAAAGGGCUCGUAGGCGGCCAACUAAGUCAUACGUGAAAUCCCCGGGCUUAACCUGGGAACUGCAUUUGUGACUGCAUAGCUAGAGUACGGUAGAGGGGGAUGGAAUUCCGCGUGUAGCAGUGAAAUGCGUAGAUAUGCGGGGGAACACCGAUGGCGAAGGCAAUCCCCUGGGCCUGCACUGACGCUCAUGCACGAAAGCGUGGGGAGCAAACAGG